CAGUGGCGAAGGCCGUGCUCUGGGGUGGGCCUGACGCUGAGAGACGAAAGCUAGGGGAGCGAACAGGAUUAGAGACCCUGGUAGUCCUAGCCUUUAACGAUGGAUGCUAGGUUUGGGGCCGAGAAGGCUCUGUGCCGCAGUUAACGCGCUAAGCAUCCCGCCUGGGGAUUACGGCCGCAAGGCUAAAACUCAAACGAAUUGACGGGGCCCCGCACAAGCAGCGGAGCGUGUGGUUUAAUUCGAUGCUACACGAAGAACCUUACCUGGGUUUGACAUGUACGUGGUAGAGAAGCGAAAGCGGAUCGACCCUUCGGGGAGCGUACACAGGUGCUGCAUGGCUGUUGUCAGCUCGUGCCGUGAGGUGUCGGGUUAAGUCCCGUAACGAGCGCAACCCUUGCCCUUAGUUACAAGUGUCUAAGGGGACUGCCGGCGGUAAGCCGGAGGAAGGUGGGGAUGACGUCAAGUCAGCAUGGCCCUUAUAUCCAGGGCUACACACACGCUACAAUGGUCAGUACAAAGGGCACCGAAGCCGCGAGGUGAAACGCAUCCCCACACAGCUGAUCUAAGUUCGGAUUGCAGGCUGCAAAUCGCCUGCAUGAAGCUGGAGUUGCUAGUAUCCGUGCGUGACCUAUAGUGCGCUGAUACGUUCCCGGGGCUUGUACACACCGCCCGUCACGUCAUGGGAGUCGGUAACGCCUGAAGCUGGUAGUCUGGCCCGCAAGGGGGGACGCCAUCAAAGGCGGGGCUGGCAACUGGGACGAAGUC
rnacentral:rRNA from 1 species